AACGCACGAGACCUGCGGACCUGCGGAAGGAUCAUUGCAGAAAACACAAACACAACCAACAGGGGGGGGGUCCCCUCCCUGAACACACACAUGACUAGGAAAAAAACGCAAAGUAAAGCAGGCGGGGAGCGAGCGGGGGGGGGAGACGCGCUUGUGACCUGGUCUGGCUGGCUUGGCUUUUGGCUCCAGAAUUCUUGUCUGAUAGUUGCUUGUUGGUUUGGUGCGCGUAAAAAUACAACU
rnacentral:misc_RNA from 1 species